AGAAAUAUGUCUGAUAAAAGAGUUACUUUGAUAGAGUAAACUAUAGAGGUUUAAAUCCUCUUAUUUCUA
rnacentral:tRNA from 2 species